GAUGAACGCUGGCGGCGUGCCUAAUACAUGCAAGUCGAGCGAACAGACGAGGAGCUUGCUCCUCUGACGUUAGCGGCGGACGGGUGAGUAACACGUGGAUAACCUACCUAUAAGACUGGGAUAACUUCGGGAAACCGGAGCUAAUACCGGAUAAUAUAUUGAACGGCAUGGUUCAAUAGUGAAAGACGGUUUUGCUGUUACUUAUAGAUGGAUCCGCGUCGCAUUAGCUAGUUGGUAAGGUAACGGCUUACCAAGGCAACGAUGCGUAGCCGACCUGAGAGGGUGAUCGGCCACACUGGAACUGAGACACGGUCCAGACUCCUACGGGAGGCAGCAGUAGGGAAUCUUCCGCAAUGGGCGAAAGCCUGACGGAGCAACGCCGCGUGAGUGAUGAAGGUCUUCGGAUCGUAAAACUCUGUUAUUAGGGAAGAACAAAUGUGUAAGUAACUAUGCACGUCUUGACGGUACCUAAACAGAAAGCCACGGCUAACUACGUG
rnacentral:rRNA from 1 species